UGAUUAAUUUGUUUGUCUUUCUAUUGAUUUUCUUAAUUCUUUAAUUAAUUUUUUUUUUGUGUUUCAUCUCAUUUCAAGUCAACUUUAUUCACUAUUUGAGAUUAAUUAGACAAGCUUUUGUUCUAUGUUAUUUAAUUUGUCAACUCUCUUUAUACCUUUCUCUUUGCUUUUCAUUCAAAUGCAUUAACCGUUGAAAUGUAACCUGAAAGUGAUAAGCGUUCAAUCGCUGUUUGACCUAAGUUUAGGGUUAAAUGUAAUCAUCUGUAAACGUGUAUUUAUCAUUCAUGAUGAUGUUUAUAUUUAAGUAAACGUUAUUAAAUUAGGUGGUAAAAUUGUUUUGCCUGGAAGAAUGAUGAAAUUAUGGAGUUUAAACGCUUUCUCUUUAGCCCCAUCUUGAUAGAAACUAUUUACUUCUUAAUUCCUCAUGAGAUUUACGAAUUGUUACGCAAAUGAUGAAAGAGUCAAAUUUUCAGGGUUAAACAUUAUUUCACUGUUUAAAAGGUAAAUAGUCAUGAUGAUUACUGCAGAUCUCGUAUUUUUUUGCGUGUAUGCCAACAUAAUCAGAUUUAAAAUUGGUUUGCAACUGAAAACAAGUCAAGGGAAGGAGUUAAAGAUGUUACAGAAUGGAUUGUCGAAGCAAAUUAAUUUAAAUUAAGGUAUCCAUCUAAAUUAGCUAAACCUGGAUCUUUGUUUUACUCAUCGAUAAAGACUGGUGCAAGGAUUCAUUGGAAAUAGACUCCAUCUGAGCUUUAAAUGGAUUAACAAUUACUGCAAUGUAUUUACACCAACUUGACCGUGUUCAUCUGUUGACAAUCUGUGAAUUGAAAUGACUAUUAGCUGAUUCUAAUUUGGUUCAUCAUUUGACCAUUUCUGGCUGUUCUCUGCAUUUAUUUCCAUCCUGGCGCAAACACCAGUGAUUUACAGAUUUCUCAAGGAUUUCAGCCUAAUCUAGUAGCCAAUGUGUCUCCAAGGAGGAAGGAUUAUGUUGUCCUUUGGACCUUUUUCAUAACAAUUUUCAUCUUUUCGGUUAAACUUUCCUUGGCCCGAGUAUCUUAGAAGCCGUUCAAUUUAAUCUGCAGUUCAUUUUUUCGCGAAAUCUGCUUGACGAAAACAAAUGAAUUGCUGUUUACCAUUCAAACAAAUUUGGAGUAUUCACUUGCAAACAAAGCACGGGAUAAAAAAUGAAAGCAGGCAAUUAUAAAGCCAUGAAAUCAUAAUUGUCACCAGUCAAGCUGUUAAAAAAAGUACUAUAAAAUUAGCUCUUGAUUGUCUUACAUAUUUAUGAAGCAUAUUUCUUGCUAUAGAGUGAGCAGGUUGAAUCAAAGUAGGAACCAUCCAAAGGAGAGGGAGAAGGAAGAGGAAGAUGAAAAAGCAAUGAAAGAAAAAAAUCCAAAUUUGACAAGGCAAAUGAAGCUCAAGGAAAAUUGAGGUCUAUCAAAUUGAGAGAUGUUCAUUCGAAUAAUAGGGGGAACAAGGAGAAAGCAAAAUCGAAAGCAACAUCGAAAGGGAAAAGAAAAGGCCGCAAUUAUACAGUUGUUGGACAGCAUGUUUGCUCAUUUUUGGACUCUCUUUCUUUUCCUAUUUAUUUACGACCAACAACAAAUAAUUUUUUACACUACAAUUUUAUUGUGUGUGUAUAUUUAUAAUACAUUAUAUUCAUUGGCAAGGAUGAGCUGAAUUCAAGUUGAAGCCAGUAAAGCUAGUGAGCAACAUAUGGAUAUCGAGUUGAUAGAGGUUCAAAUGAAAGAAGGCUAGAGAUGAAGAUGAGGAGGAGGAGGAGGAGGAGGAAUAACUCGGGGUGAAUCAGAGAGAUUUACUUCAACUCUAUGGUUCACUAUCAAUACUGGUAAUUGUUCCGUAUUAUUGAUGAUCAAUGACUCAACUAGACCAAAAUAAUAGCGGUCCUACGAUUUGGUCAGGUUAUGUUAUUAUCGAGAGCUAAUUGUAUAUCACAUUUUAUAUCAAGUAAAGCUGUUGCCUGGAGGAGUGACAUUUUGGGUUUUGUUUUUUACAUCAAAUUAGCAAUAAUCUGGUGACCAUAUUUACAAGUUGAUAAACAGCAAUUCAAUUGCAAUCAAUUUAACAAAGAGUAAAAUCCUGAAAAGACUUGAAAAUAGCUGAAAAUUUGUCACAGAAUAAGGAAGAUAAAAGGAAGAUAAAGAAAGACGAAAGUAACAAUCAAUGGACAUUUGAAGGUGGACAAAACGAUAAAGUAAAACUAAUCAGUUAAUUGGCUUUUACAGUUAGUCUUUUUUUUAUUAUU